GGGCAUAACUCGGGGCACACAACCCAUCAUAGGGCACAAUUGUGCACACACGUUACGGAAGAUUUAGAGAUGCCAGUCAGCCUACAACGUGUGUCUUUGGACUGGGGGAGGAAACCCCUGAAGCACGGGGAGAACAUGCAAACUCCGUGCACACAGAGUGGAGGCAGGAUUCGAACCACCAACCCCCAGAGAAAUCAGCUGCGAGGCAUGUGUCUGCCUCUUUCCACUCCCCUAUUCUUGAGUUCGACCCUGGGACAUCCCAUUUACUCCACC
ensembl:lncRNA